rnacentral:rRNA from 1 species
AUUGAACGCUGGCGGCAUGCCUUACACAUGCAAGUCGAACGGUAACAGGUCUUCGGAUGCUGACGAGUGGCGAACGGGUGAGUAAUACAUCGGAACGUGCCCGAGAGUGGGGGAUAACGAGGCGAAAGCUUUGCUAAUACCGCAUACGAUCUCAGGAUGAAAGCAGGGGACCGCAAGGCCUUGCGCUCACGGAGCGGCCGAUGGCAGAUUAGGUAGUUGGUGGGAUAAAAGCUUACCAAGCCGACGAUCUGUAGCUGGUCUGAGAGGACGACCAGCCACACUGGGACUGAGACACGGCCCAGACUCCUACGGGAGGCAGCAGUGGGGAAUUUUGGACAAUGGGCGCAAGCCUGAUCCAGCCAUGCCGCGUGCAGGAUGAAGGCCUUCGGGUUGUAAACUGCUUUUGUACGGAACGAAAAGACUCCUUCUAAUAAAGGGGGUCCAUGACGGUACCGUAAGAAUAAGCACCGGCUAACUACGUGCCAGCCGCCGCCGUAA